AGGUUCCUGAGGUCACUGCCCCACCUGGCACCCCACCUGGCUCACUGUCCAUAAUGUACUGGGGGCAGUUCAGGACUGGUAACAGAAGCAGGCAAGCCUCAGGAAACCUCAGGGGUUCUCUACAGCAGUAUGCAAUUUCACUUCCUCUCCACAGGCUCGAUGUUGUAUGCUGUAAUUUUAAGACCUACCUAACCGGCUCCAUGAGAUGAUUGGCUUUGGAUUCCCUGUGGCUACGCACUCCAGUGCGAUUCCCUGAUUAACGCCAGCAUGAGAGCAGAAGAAUCUGUUUUAACCAGCAGAUCUUUCUCAUCCUCAAAAGCAGUCAUCCCAGCCUUCUUUAGCCAGCUACCAUGUCCGUAUUAUUCAAGUUGGUGGGAUUAUUUGGCAGCAAUUUCUGCUACCAUUGCAUAAUAAACAUACC